rnacentral:rRNA from 1 species
UACGUAGGGUGCAAGCGUUAUCCGGAAUUAUUGGGCGUAAAGAGCUCGUAGGCGGUUUGUCGCGUCUGCUGUGAAAACUGGGGGCUCAACCCCCAGCCUGCAGUGGGUACGGGCAGACUAGAGUGCGGUAGGGGAGAUUGGAAUUCCUGGUGUAGCGGUGGAAUGCGCAGAUAUCAGGAGGAACACCGAUGGCGAAGGCAGAUCUCUGGGCCACUACUGACGCUGAGAAGCGAAAGCAUGGGGAGCGAACAGG